GCAAACUUGGUCAUUUAGAGGAAGUAAAAGUCGUAACAAGGUUUCCGUAGGUGAACCUGCGGAAGGAUCAUUAAUGAGUUUGAAACCGGGAGCCUGUUGCUGGUGCGGAAACGCACAUUGUGCACGACUUCUGUGCUCAAUCCAUUUCAACCCCUGUGCACCUAAUUGAAGCGAGUAGUCUCUCUUUAUUUGUUGGUUGUAUGCGGAAGAGGGAUGAAUUACUAUAAGUAUGUCAGUAAGGCGAACGCACCUUUUUUGGUGUCACUAGCUUGAAGGCGAAAGUAGUAGUAGUAGUCCUUCUGAUCACUUGGCCGGCAAGGAAGAGGGUCGAAAGCUUUGACUUCUUUAAACACUUUGUAUGUCUUGUGGAAUGUAUUAGCUCCUUGUGGGCGAAAUAAAUACAACUUUCAACAACGGAUCUCUUGGCUCUCGCAUCGAUGAAGAACGCAGC
rnacentral:misc_RNA from 1 species